rnacentral:misc_RNA from 1 species
CCUGUGUAGUUAAGGGCACUAUAAUUCUCCAACAAAACCAUGUCUCCAUGGAAGUCGACAAUCUCCUUCCAUAUUUUUAUCAUCUCUUCAUUGGAAUCCUUUGCCUUUGCCACCCUAUCUUGCAGCUCCUUCAAUCUGAUGAUAUACUCCUCCUCCUUCUCCACGAAGAAGGUGUUGAAUUUCUCGAGCUCAUCCUCCAACAGUUUAAUGAAAUCGAUCUCCUCUUUUNNNNNNNNNNUUGUCUCCUCCGGCGGCGCCCUCUGUACAAUCUCCAGCGUCCAAUCUGGGGCGUUUGAUAGGCCUACCUCCACCUUUGUUUGGCUCUAUGAGCUUCA